AUUUUAUUAGGAUAUUUUUAGAUAUUUUUUUAACUUCAUGUUAAUCAGGAUUCAUAAGUAUUUGGACAAACACGACAUAUUGCAAGUUGGGUCGAUUAACAUACUCAAUUUUAUUAGGAUAUUUUUAGAUAUUUUUUAACUUCAUGUUAAUCAGGAUUCAUAAGUAUUUGGACAAACACGACAUAUUGCAUGUGGGGUCGAAGUCAUUAGAGCCGUUGCCAAUAUGAAACUAUAAAGUUUAUCCCAUUACUACCUUAAAUCUCUAGUGUUUAUCAUAGUAGACUCCUUACCAUUCAUUCCCAUUAUCUUUUUAGAGAGAGAGAGGGGAGGAGAGCCUGAGGGGGAGAGCGAGGUUUUAUUCUCAUUCUCAUAUGCUUUUAGCCCUCUACCACCCCCACCUUCAUUUAUCCUAACCCAACUACGUCAAUCUCCAUUUUUCGAACACAGGUCAGUCAAUUUUCUCUGUUUGUUUAUGUAUGCGGUGCAGUAUUUCAGUAAAUUAUACUCUUUUUUAUGCUUAUACACGUCUCAAACGGAAUCCUGAAAAUAAUUUGUAUUUAGUUAAUGUUUUCAGUUGAUUGUACUGAACAAUUUGGAGUUUUUCGUUCUGGGUUUAAUUUGAUUUUAGUCUAUAAGAGGUAAUUUAUGGGUUUUGAAUUUUGUGCUUUUGGAUCGAGAUAAAAUUGUUAAAAGAAAAGAAAUCAAAUUUAGUUUUUUCUCAAGUUCAUUGCUGAUUAUUCUAUGAUAAAUUGGGUCAGAACGAACGUCUACCAGAAUCAGCUCUUUGUUGUGAAAGUGCAUUUAUAAUUUUAUGUAGCUGUCUUUUCAUAAAUUUGUUUAUCAUCAAUAGUGUAGCCACUUGAUUUUGUCGCUUUAUUGAAUGAUAAAUUGAUUUUCUUCCGACCGACGGAAGAUGUUGUCGUCUUCAUAACGUGGUGGGGUCCUCUUAUGGGGGAAGGCUUUUCUUGUCCAUGAUGAGUCAUUGCUUUGUCCUAUUGUCUUGACGGCAACUAAGUUGUGCCAAAAAUGAAGUUAAUUAUUUUAGAGUUUCUUUGAUAACUAAGGAACUUACUUAUUUCAAGUUUAGAUAUUAACCCAAAAAAAUAAAAUAAUAAUAAAUAAAUCAUUUAGUUUAUAACUUAUUUAUUUGAUAACUUAUUCACUUGUAAAUAUUUUUUUUAAGCCUACCCAAAUAUGCACUAUUCUUCAACACACAUCCUCACGUGUAUGCCCUAUUUAAUUUCGUGUGCACCAUUUUCCAUGAACAGACAGUAACGAGACUUGAAUUUAAGACCUCUAUUUUCUUUAAUACCAUGUCUAUCUCAUCUAAAGGUGUUAAAAAGUUUAAAACAUUUUGAAGAGGUAGCUAACAAAAAAUUGAUUUAGGUUGUUAAACACGAUUUCAUUCUUAAUGAAUUUGCAUACAGUGAAAGUAACAAAUUUGAGUCCAAGAACAGUGAAAGUUCAGUAAUUUGAUAGUUUUCCACUUUUUUCUUCUGUUUAUAAGUUAUUGAGCCUAGAUCCAUGAAUUUGCAUACAGUUGAGAACUGAAGUAUGUUCAACUUGUUUAACCAUUGAAUGGAUCUCAAAUGAGGUUUUGUCAAGUUAACCAUGAGCCAACCUUCAACGGACUUAGUUUAUCUAUCUGCUUUACUCUCGUUAACGUGCAUUGGAUGAGAAUUUACCCAGUAGUGGAUGGAAACUGUUUGAUUUAUCUGUGACUGUGAGCAUAAAAUGAUGUCCAAGAUUCAUGGCACUGUGUGAAUGGAUCAUGACAUUGAACUUGAAUGUUGCUGAUAAUACUCUUACAUCUAUGACGAAUAAAAUUUCUAUGAAAUGGUGCCCAUCUGAUUCCAUUUGAUAAGGAAGAUUAAAAGGAUUCAAAAUUCGACCCAAAUUUCUAAUUUCUUCAGAUUUUGAUGUGGAUAAUAAUAUAUUUGUACCUACCACAAUCACAUAGUCUACAAAAUUUUAUAUGGUUGUGAAACACAGUGUCAUUUCCUAGUAUACUAGUUUGACUAAAAGUUAAAUGAUUGAAGGGGAUUAGGUGUAAUGUUUUAAAUAUAGUGGAGAUAGGUGCUUCUUACUUGUACUAUUUGGAUUGUCCCUAAAUAUUGAAGAUUGAAGAAUCUUACCACAAGAUUCAUCUUAAUCUAGUUGGAUCAAAUGCUUCUUCCUUUCUCACAUUUAAAUUGUUGCCAUUUGACUUUUUUGUCAAUUAGACCUUUUCUUGGAGAUCAUAAUUUACAAAGCCCUGUUUGAGCCCCAUUCUUUAAAAAUUAUUUUUUCUAGACUCAUUUUCAAUCGCACAUUCUCCCAAUUAAAUAAUUUUAUACGUAAAUCCAAAAUUUAUCCUUUUUUUUUAACACAUUCUAAAAAAAACAAUCACUAUUAUAAAAUUUAUUCUCCAAAGAAAGGGGCUCAAACAAUCCUCAGUUUGCAAAUAUGGCAUUGCAAAAUAGUAAAUCACAAUCUUGCUAUUAUUAUUUGAAUGAUCCUAGUUUAAACAACUUAAAUAAUGAGAAAUAUCACUCCAAAUAAUGUGAGAAUUAAGUAGUAUUUUAAAGAUUUUUAUUUUUCCAUGAAAAUUCGGGUUGCACAUAUAUUGAAUCCUGAUGUGUCUUUCCCAUUUUACAUAACUUGAUUGGGUUAUAGCUAUUAUUAACUAGGGACGAGAUUAUGAUGGAUGGGUAAUUGUAACUAAGAACUUGUAGGUAAGUUUCUCUUUUCUUGUUUAUAUAUAUAUAUAUAUAUAUAUAUAUAUAUAUAUAUAUAUAUAUAUAUAUAUAUAUAUAUAUUUUUUUUUUUUUUUUUUUCAAAAAUUGAAUAUAAGAUUUAUACGAGUUUUUAUAUUUUCUUAAUAUUUAUAUAGUUCUGUCUAUAUUAUUUUCAUUUCUAUUUUUCAUGAAAUUUCGUUUUGUUUUUUUGUUUCAAAGGCAAAAAAAAAUAUUAAAAAUAAUAUUAAAAAUUUAUCAUCUCAGCUAAGGUAUUUAUAUACAAUAGACUAAUAGUAGAUAGUAUAAACAACAAUAAUGAGAUAGCCUAGUGGAAAAGCAUGUCCUUAACAAGUGUGAGGUCUUUGUUCAAAACUAGGGGACCCCAUUUUUUAAUUUUCCAAAAAACCUAUUGGAUAUCCUCAAAACAGUCAGACCAGCGAAACCUGCUUGUAAACCAGCCGGUUCAAGCAAGUCUAAUGUCCACCAGUCCAAUUACACUGACUGGACCUGUCUGGGGUCCCGUUCACCGGAUUUCUGGUCGGACUGGCCAGUCGUAUCCAGGUUUAAUAACCAUGCUUAUAAUAUACAUGUCCACAUCAUUCAGAACUUCCUAAUUUAUUCUGUUGCAUCCAAGGAAUGUUGAAAGUUGUUUAUGAUGAGGUGAAAUCUUUAUUAUUAUUAUUAUUAUUUUUUAUCUCAAAUGUGCUAUUGAUAAAAUAUUGUCUAGUAAUUCUGGUAAAAACUUGAUCAUUUUUACAUCCUUUGAUCGCCAUCUUCUUGUCUACAGGUUGGAUUACUUAUCACAAUGUGAGAUAGAUUUUGUUAAAAUGUUCUGAAAGUGGGAUUGGAUAGACUUGGACAGCUUAAGGCGUGGGGAGAGAACUGGUCUAGGAAGCCUAGAUAAUAUUGCAUCAUGUGAACGGGAAUCCCCAUCCCAUACAGUAAGCACUGGUGAGAGGGAAAGAAAGCUCCUGCCUUUUGCCAGCUCUAGACUUUCUUUCCCAUCCAAGGUAGUAUUCAGUAUUUCCUGAACAUUGUGAAUUUUUUAAUUGAUACACCAAAAAUACAUUGCUUUCUUUUUUUUUUUGUGGGGAUUUACAAGGAAGCCCAAUGGGGAUAACAAUCUGUUGCUCUAAUAGAAUAGCUUGAAGCCCUUACAAAUAGCAACUUAUCCUAAAAUCCCUAAGGAGAGGCGCAUGAUAAUACCUUAAAAGCUAACUGGUUUUAGAGCAGUUCCUUUCUUAAUAUUUUUUUAGACACUUUCGGCAUAGGGACCUGUAAUAAUUUUCUUUCUGUCUUUCCUUUUCUAUUUUGUUUGAUAGUUAAGACUUCAAUGCCAUCUAGGCCAUCAGAAUAGGAAAUAGAUAAUUUUGACAUCAAAAUCUGCUUGGACUUUCAAUCAACAGCAAGAGCUAAAUAGGGUGUGAUUUGUCCUGUACAUGGGCAAACAUUAGAAUGCCCAGCCACCAGAAAGCGGGGGAAGGUUGCCAGUAGCACUCUGAUGCUCAAGUUAAGCUAUGGUUACUCUUAAGGUUACGCUUACAGUAAGUGGAACAGAGUGAGUUUUGGCUGAAUUAAUAAAUUUUUUAUACCUCGGCUUCAAGUGUUGCCUUUGUAUUUAUUGGGGAAUCGAAUAGUAACGUCAUCAAGUGUAGCAUCCCUAGAGUUCUGCACAAGAGUGAUUAAACCCAUGCUGGUGUAGGUCGAACCAUUGGAGAUGUUGGUUCAGAUGUGGACAUGACCUUGUCUUGAUCAGAAGUCUAACAAAAGGCCAAGGAGCCCCUCAGCCACAGACGUUCGUCUGCUCGGCUCCUCAAAUCUGCCUGCCACUAGUUGAUCGUCCUUGGUGGGGGUGGAUAGUAUCCCUUUCUUACUCAGCUCAUUUGGGUCCCCCCCGUCCACCCAACCCUGAGACUAAAUGCUUUCCCAUGUUAGGUAAUAGUGCAAAAGAUACAACUUUAAAUGCUGCACAAAAAAAAAUUAUGAAUUUAAGAUCAUGCUAAAAUUAUAAUGGAAUAAGAUGUAACUUGCAUAGACCCUGGAACAAUGGGGUGAUGACUCAUUGUCACUAAUGAUGCACGAAGCAGUGCCUUGAUGCAAGAAACAAUUAUGUUACCAGUAUUUAUACAAGUAAUUCAUCCCAGAUUCUGAACGGAGCUUUCACCAUUUAAAUUAUAAUUUAACAGCAUUCAUCAGGAACUUUACAUGUUUCUUGACUUUUUUCACAAGUCACUUGUGUAUAAUUUUCAAGAUUCUAUCUCUUUGCCCUUUAAACAUGUUCGUUUUCUUUGAAGGAAAAUGUGUUAAAAUUUGCAUCUUUGCUGCUGAUGAAUGUUGUAUGACAUGCGUCAUAGUAAUCUAUAUUCUGCCUUGAUGCAGAGAAAGACAAUGGCUAGGGAUUCUUGGCCCUACUUCGAUCCUGAGUAUGAGACACUGAGUAUCAGAAUGAACCCUCCACAGUUUAGUUCCUACACUUCUAUCCUCUCUUUGAUAUCUAUUUUAAAUGUUUAGUGCUUUCCUCCUUGUUUUAUUGGCCAUCUUAUAUGCAAUGAAACCCAGUUGAAACUAAACUGAUUUUAAUAUAUAUGUUACCUUAUUGUACAAACUUGAAGCAUUUAAUAUGUAGUUAUGGAAUACUUGGCCAUUUAAUUUAAUUUUGCCGGACUCAGGUGUUGCUGCUAUUUGAUUGUAGUAACUACUCGUCUUUCAGGGUUUCUGUGGACAAUUCUAGUUGCAAAAACUGUACUCUUGUCAAGGUAAUUUGUCAGCCUUUAUAAGAAACUAUAUCCACUAUGAUCAAGCACCCUAAUUCUGCUGUACAUUUUCAGCGUGGGUGUUUCAAUUUAUGUGUGUGUCUAUAGGACCUCCACUAUGAUACUUGUGUGCAUAAAAAAGCACAAAUCUUUGUUAUAAUUUCUUACUAGAAUAAUGAGAUGAAGGGUUUUAUGUAACACUUAGGUUGACAGCAUGAACAAGCCAGGGAUACUGCUGGAAGUGGUGCAAAUUCUUAGUGACCUUGAUCUCAUAAUUACCAAAGCUUACAUCUCCUCAGAUGGUGGUUGGUUUAUGGAUGGUAUGAGUAUAAUGUCUUAUCACUAAUUCCUUCAUAAUAUACUUUAAGAAAGCAGCACCACUUUGUGCUUUACUAUAUUCUCCCAUUUGUAACAUGAAGAAAUCAAUUGAAAUGGUUUAACUUAUCUCAAAGUGCGAGCCUUAGUGGCCAAAUCAACUAUCUACANCUCGGGCA
rnacentral:lncRNA from 1 species